rnacentral:misc_RNA from 1 species
UCUCCGUAGGUGAACCUGCGGAGGGAUCAUUACUGAGUGAGGGUCUCCGGGCCCGACCUCCAACCCUUUUGUGAACCACCUCGUUGCUUCGGGGGCGACCCUGCCGUUCGCGGCGUGGGGCCCCCGGAGCCCAUCAAACCCUGCGUAACUAAGUCGUCGGAGUCAUAAGUCAAUUGAACAAAACUUUCAACAACGGAUCUCUUGGUUCUGGCAUCGAUGAAGACGCAGC